CAGAUGGGAGCUUGCUCCCUGAUGUUAGCGGCGGACGGGUGAGUAACACGUGGGUAACCUGCCUGUAAGACUGGGAUAACUCCGGGAAACCGGGGCUAAUACCGGAUGCUUGUUUGAACCGCAUGGUUCAAACAUAAAAGGUGGCUUCGGCUACCACUUACAGAUGGACCCGCGGCGCAUUAGCUAGUUGGUGAGGUAAUGGCUCACCAAGGCAACGAUGCGUAGCCGACCUGAGAGGGUGAUCGGCCACACUGGGACUGAGACACGGCCCAGACUCCUACGGGAGGCAGCAGUAGGGAAUCUUCCGCAAUGGACGAAAGUCUGACGGAGCAACGCCCCGUGAGUGAUGAAGGUUUUCGGAUCGUAAAGCUCUGUUGUUAGGGAAGAACAAGUACCGUUCGAAUAGGGCGGUACCUUGACGGUACCUAACCAGAAAGCCACGGCUAACUACGUGCCAGCAGCCGCGGUAAUACGUAGGUGGCAAGCGUUGUCCGGAAUUAUUGGGCGUAAAGGGCUCGCAGGCGGUUUCUUAAGUCUGAUGUGAAAGCCCCCGG
rnacentral:rRNA from 1 species